rnacentral:rRNA from 1 species
UACGGAGGAGGCAAGCGUUAUCCGGAAUUAUUGGGCGUAAAGCGUCCGCAGGUGGCACUUCAAGUCUGUCGCCAAAGACUGGGGCUUAACCCUGGAAAGGCGGUGGAAACUGAAGCGCUAGAGUGCGGUAGGGGUAGAGGGAAUUCCCGGUGUAGCGGUGAAAUGCGUAGAGAUCGGGAAGAACAUCGGUGGCGAAAGCGCUCUACUGGACCGCAACUGACACUCAGGGACGAAAGCUAGGGGAGCGAAUGGG